rnacentral:rRNA from 1 species
GGACCUGACUGCUAUCGGAUUGAUACUAAGCCAUGCGAGUCAUUGUAGCAAUACAAGGCAUACGGCUCAGUAACGCGUAGUCAACCUAACCUAUGGACGGGAAUAACCUCGGGAAACUGAGAAUAAUGCCCGAUAGAACAUUAUGCCUGGAAUGGUUUAUGUUCCAAAUGAUUUAUCGCCGUAGGAUGGGACUGCGGCCCAUCAGUUUGUUGGUGAGGUAAUGGCCCACCAAGACUAUUACAGGUACGGGCUCUGAGAGGAGUAGCCCGGAGAUGGGUACUGAGACACGGACCCAGGCCCUAUGGGGCGCAGCAGGCGAGAAAACUUUGCAAUGUGCGAAAGCACGACAAGGUUAAUCCGAGUGGUUUCUGCUAAAGAAACCUUUUGUCAGUCCUAGAAACACUGAUGAAUAAGGGGUGGGCAAGUUCUGGUGUA